rnacentral:rRNA from 1 species
UACAGAGGUCUCAAGCGUUUGUUCGGAUUCAUUGGGCGUAAAGGGUGCGUAGGCGGCGCGGUAAGUCGGGUGUGAAAUCUCGGAGCUUAACUCCGAAACUGCAUUCGAUACUGCCGUGCUUGAGGACUGGAGAGGAGACUGGAAUUUACGGUGUAGCGGUGAAAUGCGUAGAUAAUCGUAAGGAAGACCAGUGGCGAAGGCGGGUCUCUG